AGAGUUUGAUCAUGGCUCAGGACGAACGCUGGCGGCGUGCUUAACACAUGCAAGUCACGGGGGCCCGCAAGGGCAACCGGCGAACGGGUGCGUAACACGUGAGCAACCUGCCAAUCUGUGGGGGGAUAGCCGGCCCAACGGCCGGGUAAUACCGCAUACGUUCACCGAGGGACAUCCCUUGGUGAGGAAACCUCCGGGGCAGAUUGAGGGGCUCGCGUCCUAUCAGCUAGUUGGCGGGGUAAUGGCCCACCAAGGCUUCGACGGGUAGCUGGUCUGAGAGGAUGGCCAGCCACAUUGGGACUGCGACACGGCCCAGACUCCUACGGGAGGCAGCAGUGGGGAAUCUUGCGCAAUGGACGAAAGUCUGACGCAGCGACGCCGCGUGUGGGAUGAAGCUCUUCGGGGUGUAAACCACUGUUGCCAGGGAAGAAACUCCUGAUUCGUCAGGACUGACGGUACCUGGUGAGGAAGCACCGGCUAACUCUGUGCCAGCAGCCGCGGUAAUACAGAGGGUGCGAGCGUUGUCCGGAAUCACUGGGCGUAAAGGGCGCGUAGGUGGCGGGACAAGUGUGUGGUGAAAGCCUGGGGCUCAACCCCAGGUCUGCCGUGCAAACUGUCUUGCUUGAGCGUAGUAGAGGCAGGUGGAAUUCCGGGUGUAGCGGUGGAAUGCGUAGAGAUCCGGAAGAACACCGGUGGCGAAGGCGGCCUGCUGGGCUACUGCUGACACUGAGGCGCGACAGCGUGGGGAGCAAACAGGAUUAGAUACCCUAGUAGUCC
rnacentral:rRNA from 1 species